rnacentral:rRNA from 1 species
CAGCCGCCGCGGGAAAACGGAGGGAGCUAGCGUUGUUCGGAAUUACUGGGCGUAAAGCGCACGUAGGCGGCUUUGUAAGUUAGAGGUGAAAGCCUGGGGCUCAACUCCAGAAUUGCCUUUGAGACUGCAUCGCUUGAACACGGGAGAGGUGAGUGGAAUUCCGAGUGUAGAGGUGAAAUUCGUAGAUAUUCGGAAGAACACCAGUGGCGAAGGCGGCUCACUGGACCGUUGUUGACGCUGAGGUGCGAAAGCGUGGGGAGCAAACAGGAUUAGAUACCCCCGUAGUCCCUGUCUCUUAUAC